AGACAGAGAAAGACAAGAAAAUUAUUCGAAGAUUAGUUUUCCCUGGGGGAAAACGAGACGCACGCACACAGUUUUUAACGGAUCAGCGCUAGAUCACUAAGCUGACGACACGGUCCACACAACUUACGGGAUAACAUUUAACAGAUCGAUCAUCCUUUUGAUAUAUGAUUGUUGCAUUACAUCCACCACAGACCAGAGAUUUAAGACUAGGCAUAGGACGCCAGGAACUACAACAAGGACAUUUCACUGUUCCUCCUGUGCUGCUUCUAUAAGAUAAAUUAGCCUUACAGUUUUUACAUGGAAGCCUAGCUGCAAUCAGAUGCCCUGUAAUAACAAAUCAAGAUCUUAAUUAACUAUUCGAUUGAGAAAAAAAGACCAUUGCUAUAACUUACAACGAAUGAAUAGAAACAGAGUUUGGUUUAUAGAUACCGAGAUGAGGUGUGAAUGGAACGUGACAUUGUGGACAGAUGACUCUUAGUCCUCCUGUUCCAAGCUCAGCAAAAUGAAAUCUUCCUCGUCCGUUUGCUUGGUUCUGCAUAGCUCUGAGAACACACAAACCAAAGAAGAUUUAACAAUCGAGAAUUUCGAAACAUCAAAGGGAAGAGCAAAAGAUUUUGUUUACCUUGAAGAUGAUAAAAGAGUGUUUUUGUAAUAUGAAAAGAGAUUAUGAGUUAAAGCAAAAAGGUCUUUGUUGGUCCUUUUAUUAACCAUGAACAGUCAUAAACGUACGUUUUUAAGCAACUCUUCAUGUAUAUAACUUUAAUGUAAUUUUAUUAACUUGGAGAAAUUCUUAUCUAUUUUAGCUUAACUUUUCCCAUAUAUAUAAAAAUUCGUAAAAGAAUGAACAUGAAAAUUCGUCUCCAUUUCUCCAUUGUAGGAAAAACAGAAUAAGAUCUUUUAUUUUAAACACAUCCACCCGCGCCUUAUACAAAUAAAUCAUUUCUUAAAAAAUGUUUAAGACGCGGUUGGAUGUGUUUCAAAUAAAGUAUAUAUGUAUGUGUAGUCAAAUGUAUCUUAUUCUUUUCAAAAAAAAUUGAUUUGUGCCAAAUGCACAUCAUUGUUUAAGACAUCAUUGUUUAAGACGCAGUUGAAUGUGUUAAAAAAUAGAUGUACAAGAGAUUUGUUUAAUUAGGAGUUUAAGAUGAUUUGUUUUAAAAUGACAAAUUUAUUGUUAUACAAGCACAAUUUUUUUUAAAAGUGAGUGUCAUAGAAUUACUAUUUGAUAAAUUGUAUUUGAAAUCCAAUGUCUUUAAAUAUUUUAAAUUAUAUCUGUCAGAAGUCUUCUUAUCAUUUUAGAGUGUUUAACUAGAGUUUCUUAGUUUAAAAUUUAAAAAUAAAAAACGUACUACUUGAUAAAAUGUUUUGAAAUCUAAUGUCAUUGAAAAUAUUUUUAAUUAUAAUUUUCAGAUGUCUUCUAAUCAUUUUAGAAUGUUUAGGUAAAGUUUCUUAUUUGAAAAAAAAAAUCAAAUCUCAUAAUUUUAUAAGUGAUUUUAGAAUGGUCUAACGAAAAUCAUGUUAAAACUCAAUUGAUCUAAAAUCAUUAAAUUUACUAAAAAAUCAAUUCAUUUCAAUCUAUAGACUUAAUACACCCCAUGUAAUAAUAUUUGUUAUUAAUAUGUGUUUCUUAUUCAAACUAAACUUUGGAGUAGUAAUAAAGGUGAUUUUUUGAAAUGUACAUAGUAGAAGAAGAAUUAAGAAUAUAUCCAUGCAUUGGUAUGUAUGUCAAUUUGGUAUAAUAUUGGAUGAGUUUUUCUUUCUCUGUGCGUGAUCAUUCGUCAAGGCAAUGUUGUAUAUAACACUACACUAUAAUUGUUAAAUAUAUAGUACAAUACAAUCAAUUAACAACAAUUAACACUAUGUACAUAUAUAUAUUGUAAAGCUGCAUUUCUGUUAUAUGUUUCUCAAAUAGAAUAGCACACAACAAACUACUACAUUUCAUUUUGAACUGUUCAUAUUCUCCAGAGUUGAUGGAUAACAAUCAUAAAAUGUUUUGAUAAAAAAAAAUAAUCAUAAAAUGUAGGAAAACAUACGAUUUGCGGAUGAGUUAGUGGCACUGUUGCUGGAGUUUUCCAUCUUUUCCAAUUAUGAAACUUAAUAUCAUAUCCUAUACUAUACCAUAUUGUAUUUCUAAUGGUAUAAUCUUUGUUUUAUUGGUUGAAAGUGUUUAACACCUUUUUGGCCAUUAUCGAUUUUCAAUAAUAUAGUAUUGUAUGUUGUUGCUUGUAAUAGCUAGUCUUAAUCAAUAAAUAUAAACUAUUUGAUUCAUAAAAAUGAUAUAACAACAAAAUAUAACAUAUGUCUUUUACUGUAAAACCACAUCUCUAUUUUAUGUUCAAUAAAUAGAAUAGAACUAAACAAAUUUUACAUUUUAGACAAAUAAGAAUAGCGAGGCAGAAGAGAUAUAUGAUUAUCAGAGUGCUGGUUGAGUUGCCAAAGUUGAUGAGAAAAAGAAACUACUGCAUAAGAUGAAAGAGAAAAAGAAACGUUGAGAAAAGAUAAAGAGAAUACAAGUGGAGACAAUGGUGGAAGCGGCGAUCGUGAAGAAGAACGAAACAAUCGGCAACAGUGAUGGUAGUGUUACAAAUAAUAAAGACUAAGGCGGAAGAAAAUGAAGUGAUCGGAGAUGGAAGAGAUAAAAUUAUUGACAUAGAAGAAAAGAAAAUAUCUGGUGUGUAAUACCAAAAGGUAAAAAAGUCACUUGAUACAUGAUAUACAUGAAAUAUCAUAGCCAAGCAUUUGCAAUGGGUAGAAACUUAGUUUUGGUUCUGCUAUCUAUACGUUCCCUAAUUUCUCUUGUAAUAACAUACAUUUUCUUAAAUCUCUAAAUGCUUUUUUGUCAUCACCUCUCAAAGUUAAAUUUUUUUUAACAAAAAAACCAUUUGGUUUACAUUUACAUGCUUCAUAUGAAAGAAAUAUUUCUCCUAUACCUUUCUAUAGACUUCAAAAAUUUUUAUGGAUUUGAGACUGGUCUUGUUGAAAACCAAUAUCUUAGUCCAUCUUCCAACCUUGUGUGAUCUUCUCUUUGGACUGAAACAAAUCUGUUUCUGAUAUUUCUCUCCAUGAUUCUGAUGAUUGUUGUUGUGGUUAAAGGCUUCUCUCCAUGCCUUCUACCAUUCCUCUCCAUCCAUAACCCAUGAAUCACAGUUUGAAACACAUAUCUCAGGGUGAACUGUUUUGUGGUGGUCUGAUUUCCAGAGAUUGCUUCCACUAUUCUUCUCCAAGAACUCAUAAACUCAUCUCCCAUCACUCCUUUUGCAAGGUUUUCCCAUACGACUGUUGAGAAUAUACACUAAAGAACAAGUGGUUUCUGGUUUCUAGGGGAUCAUCGCACAACGAACAAGCAGAGUUAACGGUUCCUCCCCAUUUCAACAUCCUAUCACCUGUGUCUAAUCUAUUAUGUAUAGAUAACCAUGUGAGAAAAGCAAACCUUGGAGUUGCGUAUCUGAACCAGACUCCAUUACUCCAAUUACAGUUAGCUCCUCUCGUUCUCAACAAUUCUCAAAGUUUAGGGGGUGUUAGUGGAGAUGAGAUUUAUAAUGAGUCUAAGUCUAGUGUUAUUGGUUUAUAGAUUCUCAUAUUCUCAUUAAAAUCUAUUGUUAUUGGUUUGAUGAUUCUAUAAUUCUAUUCAAAAUCAUUUGUUAUUCAAAAAGUUUAGAUUUUAAUGAUUCUACAAAUCUAUUAAAGUAAGUGUUAUUGGGAGUUGAAUUCUUAUCAUUUUAACUCACAAAUUAAGAUUUUGAGAAUACUAUAUGGGGGUGUUAGUGGGACUUAGAUUUCUAUAGAGUUUGUUGAUUUUAAAAGUUGGGAGAUUUGUUAAAUUUGGAAAGAUAUGUAGAGAAUUUUAUAUAUUGUGAAAAUCUAUUAAAAUAAAGUAAUGUAAUGAUUCUAAGAAUUCAAGGUAAACAUGUAGUAUUCUCAAAAUCUUAAUUUGUGAGUUAAAAUGAUAAGAAUUCAACUCCCAAUAACACUUACUUUAAUAGAUUUGUAGAAUCAUUAAAAUCUAAACUUUUUGAAUAACAAAUGAUUUUGUAUAGAGUUAUAGAAUCAUCAAACCAAUAACAAUAGAUUUUAAUGAGAAUAUGAGAAUCUAUAAACCAAUAACACUAGACUUAGAAAUUCUAAGACUCAUUAUAAAUCUCAUCCCCACUAACACCCCCAUAGUGUUUACCUUGAAUUCUUAGAAUCAUUACAUUACUUUAUUUUCAUAGAUUUUCACAAUAUACAAAAUUCUCUACAUCUCUUUCCAAAUUUAAUAAAUCUCUCAACUUUUAAAUUCAACAAACUCUAUAGAAAUCUAAGCCCCACUAACAACCCCUUAGUUUAAAUAAGAAAGAAAACAAAAACUUUAAGUCUUUGUUUUAAGAUUUAUAUAUCAGAUGCUUCUUUCACACACUCAAAACCAAAUCGAGAUUACAAAAUAUUCCAACGGUACGUAUGAUCAUAUGACACCCCUUUGAGAGGAAAAAAAGAAAGCAGGGGGUUAUCAACCGCGAUUUUCAGAAGUUUCUAGAGUCUUUCCAGAACAUAGAUUCUGUUUUUAAAAGAGUCUUAAAAACCUGAUAAAAGCUUGGAUCAUAUGUA